GAGAGUCUGCUUGGUAAGGGAGGGUUCUUGGAGGAGUGGACAUUGGAGCCAGGCCCGGAAGGUGUCAGGAUUCAGUCAGUCAGGGAGGGCAGGGAGAGACCUCCGAGCAGAAGCAGCAGCUUUUUAGAGAGGCAGAGAGCCAAGACUUUGCUGCCCUGACCUUCUACCUGGCAGUAAUGCCACCCCAGGGCCCCAGGUGGGGCCCAGGCACGUCCUGGGUAGUGCAGACCCCAUCAGAGGUCAGCCCUGGUCCAGGACUCCCAGCCCACCCUCCCUCAGCCUUUGAGCUCCUCCUAAGAUGCAGCCCUGCACCCUGGUGGUACCCACCCAUGAGGCUUCCCCUCACAGAACACAUCUGCCCAGACAGUGCUGUUGCUGCACUGUGCCCAGCCAGGAGCUUCAAGGACAAGAGAGAGACUCUGCACUCCAACGCCAGCUUCUGCUCAGCAGUUCUUGGCCAAUGUCUGCAGUGCCCAGCAGGACACUUCUGCCCCAACAGGGCCACCCAACUCAUCCCGAGCCAGCCAGGCACAUUCAGUCCCCACCCAGGCCAAGAUGAAGCCACAGACUGCGCUCCAUGCCCAGCAGGCAGGGCCUGCACCCAGGCGGGGCUGCCUCAGCCAGACGCGGAGUAUGCACCAGGGUAUGUGUGCCUUGUGGGCUCCUGUCUGCACACUCCCCGCCACGCCUGCCCACCUGGGACCUUCAGCAACCGCACCAACCUCUCCAACCUGUCGCACUGUGAGAUUUGCCCCACCAGACUGGCCUGUCCUAGGGGUGAGUGAGGAGGCAGAAAGGCAAGCUUACUGCCUGCUGGACCGUACCUUUGGGUCAAAGCCCAGCUCCACUGCAAGGCAGGGAGGCCAAAAAAACAGACCUUUGCCCGCAGCCCCUUUGUUCCCCACAAAGAGCACGGUCCACCUCACCUUAGGAUGCCCAAGGAAGGGAGCAUGUAGAGCACUGAGUCCCCACCCCGCUGUCCAGAUGGGGCAGCCUCUGGGCCACUGCCAACCCAGAUGCCCCUUCCCCAAUGCCAGCCCCAGCCCGUGUCCCUGCCACUUGCCAGCGGGAUACGGCUAGAGGGGCUGCUGCUCCUCUGGGCCCAGUUCAGGACUGUGUGUGCAGGAGCCGGGGGUCCAAACUGGUCCCCCAUCUCCUGCCCAGCUGGCUGUUACUGCCCUCGGGGCACCAAACAGCCAACCCAGUUCCAGUGUGCCUCCGGGCACCUGGAGUAACCAGCCUGGACUGACCGCCAGCAGGGCGUGUGCACCCUGCCCCAGGGGCUGGUUCUGCAUCAGCGGAGCCCAGGUGCCCUCAGGGACAUGCAAAGCUGGGCAUUACUGCCCACAAGGUGAGUGGGGCCAGGGUCUGCCCUGGCAAGGUCACAGGUGAGUGCAAGAAGGGAACAUGGGCCAGCCUGCACACCUCCCCAGAUUAAGGUUAGAUCUCAGGAAGGCCUUCCUGAGAGACAGACUCGGACUGGUCAGCCACUGAGCAUCCUAACUGGGGGUUCACGGGGGGUUUCCACGUAGACAAAGGUUGGGUCCCAGGUAAGUGGCACCCCUGUCCCCUGCUGCUUCUCCAGUGGCCUCCCUUGAGGAAUUGUCCCCAGGGAGCAGAAUGGGGAGCUCUGUGCUUGGAUGAUGCAGCUCUGGCACCCCUCUUACCUCCUCAGACCCUUCCCCUUCUCUCUGAAACAGGUACAAAGUGGGGUACCCAGUUCCCCUGCCCAGCGGGCACCUACAGCUCUCAGGCAGGCAACGGCCGGGUGGAAGACUGUCUGCCCUGUCCCCCAGGGGCCUUCUGCCCCAGGGGGGGCCCCAAGCCUGUGCUCUGCCCACGGGGAACCGCCCGCCAGAGUCCAGAUACGAGGCUGGCUGCGGCCUGUGUGCUGUGCCCCGCUGGCCACCACUGCCCUGAGCCCGGCACCACCACUCCGUGGCCAUGCAGCGCUGGCAGCUUCUCAGGCCCAGGCCAUCUCUGGUGCCAGCAGUGCCCAGGAGGAACACUUUGCAACCAGACGAAGCUGGCUGGCCCCACGGCGUGUCCACCCGGGCACUACUGCCCAGCCCGGGGCCUGCUGUCCAUCCCCUGCCCGGUGGUGAGACGCUCCCCUCAGCCUUCUGGCAUCUGUUCACUUCUGCAUGGGAAGGCUCUGGAGCCACCAGCCCUGUACUGGUGGUUGGGAUGGGUGACAUCUCUUCACUGUGACAUGACUACAUGCCGGCCCUCUGCCUCUGGUCCCCAUUCAGAGGACGGCCCAACCACUCACUUUCCCGCAGCUGGUUUCUGAGAGUGGUGCUAGAGCAGAAUGCCACAAGGUGCAAAGUGACCCAGGGUGUAGAGGUGG
rnacentral:lncRNA from 1 species